GGCCAGUGGUGACGUGGCCAGGGUUGUGUCGACACCAGUGUGGUGUUGGCUGUGUGGGGUGCACCUGGGUCCUGUGUUGGCCUUUGAAGGUGGACUUGGAACCUCAGGGGAAACUACAUGUAGUAAUUGAGUUAAAAUGGGUGGAACCAGGAGAUGGGGGUGCCCCCGGAAGUUCAGGGAGUGCAAACGCUUCAACUGAUGCUGAGGCAGAGGAUCACCAGGUCAAUGGUCACAAGUUCAUGGCAACCUUCCUUUGACAACCUACUUUCUGCUCCCACUGCAGAGAAUUUAUUUGGAGUAUCGGAAAACAAGGUUAUCAGUACCAAGUUUGUACCUGCAUCAUCCACAAGUGCCAUCACCGGUCCGUUGUUGCACAUUGUCCAGGAAACAAGAAUGCAGAGGCUAGAGUAACACAAGAACAAGCAGUGGUAACACAGAGAGCAAGUGGAAGAGACCUUGGGAGACUUCCAUGACUCAGGAACAAGAAGCACACCUUACUGGGAGCCUUGUGACUGACUAUUGGUGGUGACUGCAGGAACGAACAUUCAGGAGCAAGAAGUACACCUUACUGGAACCUUGUGACUGACUGGUGGUGGUGACUGCUGGAACCAACAUUCAGACGUCUGUCUUCUGCAGUGAACUUCCUGUCUGCAGUCAGGCUGAUAGUGCUAUGGCGCAGGGUCUGACAUCAGGAAGAGCCAAAUGGAGGGUGUCUACAGCUAGUACUGGGUGUCCUGCUUCUAUACAAGUCACAGAAGCCAGGUGCCACAGCACAUUGUGUCAGCUGACUCCACCAAUGUAUUAUUGUCUAGUCCAGGAUGCAUUGCUGUACAACUUGUAGGUCUUUGGCAAUAAAUAAAAUUAUUUUGACUC